rnacentral:rRNA from 1 species
UGGGGAAUAUUGGACAAUGGGCGCAAGCCUGAUCCAGCAAUGCCGCGUGUGUGAAGAAGGCCUUCGGGUUGUAAAGCACUUUUAUCAGGAGCGAAACGCUGUCGGCUAAUACCCGGCGGAACUGACGGUACCUGAGGAAUAAGCACCGGCUAACUUCGUGCCAGCAGCCGCGGUAAUACGAAGGGUGCAAGCGUUAAUCGGAAUUACUGGGCGUAAAGCGUGCGUAGGCGGUUUCUUAGGUCUGCUGUGAAAUCCCCGGGCUCAACCUGGGAAUGGCAGUGGAUACUGGGAGGCUAGAGUGUGUCAGAGGGUGGUGGAAUUCCCGGUGUAGCGGUGAAAUGCGUAGAGAUCGGGAGGAACAUCAGUGGCGAAGGCGGCCACCUGGGACAACACUGACGCUGAGGCACGAAAGCGUGGGGAGCAAACAGGAUUAGAUACCCUGGUAGUCCACGCCCUAAAACGAUGCGAACUGGAUGUUGGUCUCAACUCGGAGAUCAGUGUCGAAGCUAACGCGUUAAGUUCGCCGCCUGGGGAGUACGGUCGCAAGACUGGAAACUCAAAGGAAUUGACGGGGUCAUAGCUGUUUCC